CAGGGAAGCCAAGCAGGAACAGUUGGAGCAUGGGGCUGCUGCUUUGAAGGAAUGGCAAGAGACCGCUCAAGUCCUGAGUGCUGCACUGAGCAAGAGUGAAAUUUCCAAAGGGGCUCUGAAGAAAGACUUGGACAUCCUGAAGGAAAGGCUUCGUCUCCAGCAGGCUGUUGGAGCAGAAGGGAAGCGGCUGUCAGAGCGCUCCAGGAAGGGUGUGGAAUGUGUGCGGGACCAGGUUGCAGCAGCAGCAAAAGACAAGCCAGAGAAGCGUGAGCUCAGGAGAACUUUUGAGGUGUCCUUGCUGCAGUCACAGCUGGCCCGAGACCGGCAGGACAACCUGGAGAGCUGUGCAGGGAGCAGGCAGGAGAUGCUCCCGUUGAGUCACAAGGACCUCCUUACUUCCUAGGCUUGUCAGAGAGGAGCCAGGGUGCAGCUGGAUGCAGUCGUAGCCUCAGAUUUUGUCCAUAGUUUAUGUUUAAAGGAUUGCAGGUGUAACUGUAGGAUUGUAGGAUAAUAGGUGUAGUCGUUGCAGCAGUCGUAGCCUCAGAUUUUGUCCAUAGGUUAUGUUUAAAGGAUUGCAGGUGUAACUGUAGGAUUGUAGGAUAAUAGGUGUAAUUGAACCUUUAUACAACUGUGUUCCAGAGGA